AGUGAACGCUGGCGGUAGGCCUAACACAUGCAAGUCGAACGGCAGCACAGUAAGAGCUUGCUCUUACGGGUGGCGAGUGGCGGACGGGUGAGAAAUACAUCGGAAUCUACUUUUUCGUGGGGGAUAACGUAGGGAAACUUACGCUAAUACCGCAUACGACCUACGGGUGAAAGCAGGGGAUCUUCGGACCUUGCGCGAUUGAAUGAGCCGAUGUCGGAUUAGCUAGUUGGCGGGGUAAAGGCCCACCAAGGCGACGAUCCGUAGCUGGUCUGAGAGGGUGAUCAGCCACACUGGAACUGAGACACGGUCCAGACUCCUACGUGAGGCAGCAGUGGGGAAUAUUAGACAAUGGGCGCAAGCCUGAUCCAGCCAUACCGCGUGGGUGAAGAAGGCCUUCGGGUUGUAAAGCCCUUUUGUUGGGAAAGAAAAGCAGCAGGUUAAUACCCCGCUGUUCUGACGGUACCCAAAGAAUAAGCACCGGCUAACUUCGUG
rnacentral:rRNA from 1 species